AAACAAUUGAGGAUGUGGACGAGACUAUCAAGCCAAAGUUAAAACCUUUGCACUGGGAUAAAGUUAGAGCGAGCUCCGACCGAGAAAUGGUUUGGGAUCAGCUCAGGUCAAGCUCCUUCAAGUUGAACGAGGAGAUGAUGGAAACGCUGUUUGUUGUAAACACUCCAAACCCAAAACCAAACCAGACAACUCCACGUUCUGUUAUUCCAUCACCAAACCAAGAGAAUAGGGUACUUGAUCCCAAAAAGGCGCAGAACAUAGCAAUUUUGCUCAGGGCACUCAAUGUGACAAUUGAGGAAGUUUGUGAAGCCCUUUUAGAAGGCA
rnacentral:misc_RNA from 1 species